GCUCGGUUGGUGUAGUCCGGCCAAUCAUUUCGGCCUUUCGAGCCGAUGACCGGGGUUCAAAUCCCCGACCGAGCA
rfam:halophilic archaeon J07HX64 genomic scaffold scf_7180000098875, whole genome shotgun sequence.